UACGAAGGGGGCUAGCGUUGUUCGGAAUCACUGGGCGUAAAGCGCACGUAGGCGGAUUGUUAAGUCGGGGGUGAAAUCCUGAGGCUCAACCGUCAGAACUGCCUUCGAUACUGGCAAUCUCGAGUCCGGAAGAGGUUGGUGGAACAGCUAGUGUAGAGGUGAAAUUCGUAGAUAUUAGCUAGAACACCAGUGGCGAAGGCGGCCACUGGUCCGGUACUGCAACGCUGAGGUGCGGAAAGGCGUGGG
rnacentral:rRNA from 1 species